UUGAACUAUUUAGCUGAUCGCACGGUCUAAGCACCGGCGACAUAUCCUUCAAAUGUCUGCCUUAUCAACUUUCGAUGGUAGAUUAUGCGCCUACCAUGGUUGUAACGGGUAACGGAGAAUCAGGGUUUGAUUCCGGAGAGGGAGCCUGAGAAAUGGCUACCACAUCCAAGGAAGGCAGCAGGCACGCAAAUUACCCACUCCCGGCACGGGGAGGUAGUGACGAAAAAUAACAAGCUGGUCUCUUUGAGUUCCGGCAUUGUAAUGGGAACAACUUAAAUCAUUUAUCGAGGAUCUAUUGGAGGGCAAGUCUGGUGCCAGCAGCCGCGGUAAUUCCAGCUCCAAUAGCGUAUAUUAAAGUUGUUGCGGUUAAAAAG
rnacentral:rRNA from 1 species